GACGAACGCUGGCGGCGUGCUUAACACAUGCAAGUCGAACGGAAAGGCCCCUUUGGGGGUACUCGAGUGGCGCACGGGUGAGUAACACGUGCGUAACCUGCCCUUGACUUCGGGAUAACUUCAGGAAACUGGGGCUAAUACCGGAUAGGAAUCCUUGCUGCAUGGUGGGGGUUGGAAAGAUUCGGCGGUUUUGGAUGGACUCGCGGCUUAUCAGCUUGUUGGUGGGGUAGUGGCUUACCAAGGCUUUGACGGGUAGCCGGCCUGAGAGGGCGACCGGCCACAGUGGGACUGAGAUACGGCCCAGACUCCUACGGGAGGCAGCAGGGGGGAAUAUUGCACAAUGGGCGGAAGCCUGAUGCAGCAACGCCGCGGGCGGGAUGACGGCCUUCGGGUUGUAAACCGCUUUCAGCAGGGGCGAAGCUUGUGGUGACGGUACCUGCAGAAGAAGCACCGGCUAACUACGUG
rnacentral:rRNA from 1 species